AUGUUUCCUGUGGGUGAUAUGAGGAAGAUGCUGAGCCCUCUUUUUUGUUCGAUUAUGAAAAGGGGAUCUCGCACCAGAGGGUGGCGUCCCAAGCGGUGGCAUCUGCAAGAUAGAAGGAACACCAAAAUUCCUCCCAAAGACCUCGACAGGACAUACUCAGGAGAAAGUACCUGAACGGUAAGGUGAGGCACACAAGCAACUUUUGGAGUUGGUGAUAGACGUCUACACCCUGCCUGUCGGCAACCAAGCACGUUUUCUAAAGCAAUGCGGAUAGCGAAAAGGCUCACAGCCUUCGUACCACCGCCCUCCUACGUAUCUAAAAUAAUUUUGUUGUCGUAGAACAUUGUCCAUAUUGUAUGAGCGCCGUGCCGUUACGCAUUCGACAGCAAGGAAAGGGCGGCCACGCCAAAGGUUCCACAGAGAAUCCCUGAGAGCUUGGACCGAGCGCCGGCGUGGAGAACAAUCGUGAUGGUAUGUUCGCUGGCAAAGAAGAACUCUUGAUCUUGGAGUCGGCGUCUAAAGACAAUGUUGGGAUCGUGCCCGUCUGUGUGCGUCCGCGGCCCACUGACCACAAGGCAGAACUCGACAACGCGAUCUUCCAGACCAUCAUCAGGUGGAGUAGUAAAUGUGUACUUUCUCCCAUCCAGCUCGUCCCUGUCGACGUCUCUUCUCCAGAAAAUAUGGUCAGGUCUCGCGAACGAAAAUUCUUGCUUGUAACUGACCUUACGCCCGAGGUCACAGUUGGGGUUGUCAUAAGCAUAUGCUUCCGUGGAAAAAGUCGGGGGCUCGACCAUUGCACUGAAAUCGGCUGUUCGGUCGACGAUCUGAAACGUUUGAUUAGCC
rnacentral:lncRNA from 1 species